rnacentral:tRNA from 1 species
CAGGGGGUAGUUUAAGCAGAAUUUCGGCUUUGGGUGUCGACGGCGAGAGUUUAACUCCCUCCCCCCUGA